AAAAGGCGUCGCUCGGCCCUUCCCCCCCCCCUCGGAGCGACGUUGAAUGCCGACGCGUCCAACGGAGGGAAGAGGCGUGGCUUAUGCUGACACGCGGAGGAGAUGAAAACAAAGACCAGCCCAUUAAGGAACAUGACUCUUUAAGACAUUUGGAAGAAUUAUGGACUUGUGGAAAGCCCAGGAAAUAAAGAGAAUGCAUGAGAGGAUAAAAGAAAACAAGAAUAUAUGGAUUAGAGACUUCAAUUGCUAUGUGGCUGGCAGUUGUCCUUCGUGGCUGUUUUGCACAAAACCAACAACACAAAUUAAAACAUUGGGAAAGCAACCUCAGGAGCCAGACGACAAUUCCAAAGUGCCAUUACGUGUUCUGAUGGUUAUAUAGACCUCCGCGUCCGUUAAUCCUAUCCAUUCCAUGCUCAACUUUACUGAGUGAAGCUAGCUAUCCAGUCCUAACAGACUGAAUUAGCAGAGAUAUAUAUAUAAAAAGACAUUGGCUUCCAUGCUCCCUUUAUAUCUUAUACCAGCCUUCUGAUUAUAUCCAAAACAGUCUGUUCUAUGUGACCUUGAUAUUUGACACUUCGGUCAUUACUAAGCCUUUUCAUAUUUAAAAUUCAUCCAAAACUUACAACUGUUUGCUGAGUUGGAAAUGGCACAAUCAGGGAUUAAAAGUGCUGCAUCGUUGGCAGUUACUGAGUCACCUGCUUUUGAACUGCUGAGUCACUAGGAGCUGGAGCGGCUCGCAGGAGCUCAUCCAUGGCACAGCAACAGCCAGGUUUCAAACGCGAACCUGCCAAUCGUCAGCCCGGUGUCCUAACCGCAUGAAUCACCAUGCUCCCACAAAUCACAUGGCUGUUCUGUUUGGAAUCCUGGGAGGUGAUCAAGUGUAUUUGGAGGCUUUGGUUGAGAAGGCAAAAAGCUACUCUGGUUGUUCUUGAAGGCGAAGUUGCAAUCCAGACCGAUAAUGU